UGUUCUCAAAGUUUGCAUCAUAUGCCCUUUAGAGAAAUCUUUAUUGAACAUUUUAAUUUUCCUCAUACAUGCUUAUCAUUUGGCAUCAUGUUAUUUUGUGACACAGUAACUGAAUAUGCACACAAGAGGAUCCCUCUGGAUGUGUAGGGGGUAUGAAGUAAUAGCCAUUUUUUUUCUCUGUGUAGAUUUGGCAUCAUAUUGCCCAGUAACUGAAUAUGCACGCAGGAGGAUCACUCUGGAUGAUGGAAAAUGCAUUAUCCGUGGUAAGAAGCUAACGGUGUCGCCCCAUUUAUACCACAUUUAGGCAUGAUAAUUAAAUUAGCCUUCAAAUUAAAUAGAUGUCCGCAUUCAUGGGUACAUAGAUGAGCUGAGCUACUAUUUUCUUGUUUGGGAAUGAGGUAACACUAUACAAACAGCAUGUUGACACUCUGAACAGCUUAAUACUAGACGGAAACAAAAUUUCUCUUCCUACUAUGUCUGUACCAUGAACAAGAUGUUCGCAACAAGUGGUCAACAAAUGUACUUUUCCACUCACUUCACACAAGAAUAUCUCAAGGGGCACAUGCAUGAAGAGCAUACUAAUUUGCUGAUCAAAGCUGGAAACAGACCUGCCAUCGUCAUUGCUCGGCUUAUCAUACAAUCACAAGAAGCUGGACUCAGUUCUUUGACAUUGCAAAUAUGAAAGGAGGAGUGUCAUAUGCAUUUGCCUUUGAGGAAUUGGCAGGAGAACUCAUAUCAUCGUGCACUCCCUUUGAUAGCUUCAUGAGCAACCACUGCCAUCAUCUCAUAAUAUAGCUCAGGUUCAAGACCUAGGUCAUGCACUACUUUUCUCGACCAUAUAAUGUGCUCUGCGUCACCUUAUCCUUUCAGCUCCAGUACUUCAUAAUAUAGAGUAGAUGAAACAUCUUUUUAAAUUGGUGUGGAAAUACCAAUGCAGAUGGAGCUAUGUAAUCCAGCUUGCUUUCUAUCAUGAGUUGGUCUCAUGACUUUGUUUUUAGCCAUCUUGGUACCAUGCAAUGGAAUAUAUAACACUAUGUUUGAACAUCGUAUCUAAAUAUUAUCUAAACACUCUUGCUUGGUUCCC